rnacentral:rRNA from 1 species
UACGUAGGGUGCGAGCGUUAAUCGGAAUUACUGGGCGUAAAGCGUGCGCAGGCGGUUCGUUGUGUCGGUGGUGAAAGCCCCGGGCUCAACCUGGGAACUGCAUUUGUGACUGCAUGGCUGGAGUGCGGCAGAGGGGGAUGGAAUUCCGCGUGUAGCAGUGAAAUGCGUAGAUAUGCGGAGGAACACCGAUGGCGAAGGCAAUCCCCUGGGCCUGCACUGACGCUCAUGCACGAAAGCGUGGGGAGCAAACAGG